GACAGAGGUGCCGAGCGUUAGGCGGAAUCACUGGGCUUAAGGCGUGUGUAGGCGGAUCGUUAAGUGCCUUGUGAAAUCCCACGGCUCAACCGUGGAACUGCUUGGCAUACUGGCGAUCUUGAGCCACUUAGGGGCUAUCGGAACAAAUGGUGGAGCGGUGAAAUGCGUAGAUAUCAUUUGGAACGCCAAUGGUGAAAACAGGUAGCUGGGAGUGUGCUGACGCUGAGACACGAAAGCCAGGGGAGCAAACGGG
rnacentral:rRNA from 1 species